rnacentral:lncRNA from 1 species
CCGGCAACUCCCCAUUCCCUCCCUCUUCUCCCCACCUCCUCACCCAGCCUCUGGUAGCCAUCAUUCUACUCUCUACUUCUGUGAGUACAACUUUUUUAGAUUCCGCAUAAAAGUGAGAUCAUGCAGUAUUUGCUUUUCUGUGCCUAGCUUAUUUAACUUUGCACAAUAUUCUCCACGUUCAUCCACAUUGUCACAAAUGACAAGAUUUUCUUCUUUUUUAAGACUGAAUAGUAUUCCAUUGUCUACAUGUACCACAUUUUCUUUAUCUAUUCAUCUGUUGAUGGACACAAGUUGAUUCCACAUCUUGGCUAUUGUGGACAGCACUGCCAUGAACAUAGGAGUCCAGAUAUCCUUUGGACAUAUUGAUUUCAAUUCUUUUGGACUAAUACCCAGAAGAGGGUUUGACUGACAUAUGAUAGUUCUAUUUUUAGUUUUUUGAGGAACUUCCAUUCAGUUUCCCAUAAUGGCUGUGAGUCUGGAGUUUGUUCCUGCCGGUGGGUUCGUGGUCUCGCUGACUUCAAGAAUGAAGCUGCAGACGUUCGUGAGGAGAAAGCUGAAGCACCAGAUGGUUAAAAGGACUGUUCAAGACAGCCUUGCAAUUUUGACCAAGGAAGAAAGCUGAAGAGUGCUAGGGCAAGAGAGGAACUACGUCCAGAACAAUUCAUAAUUCCAAAUUCUCACUUCCAUGAUUUCAAUGCUGAAUGUGUACUUCUCUAGCUAAAAAUACAAUUGCUUAAGUAAAAUCAUCAUUAUUUACAGUCUUGCUGAAUUGUGGUGUUGUUAUUAACCAGAAACAACAGCUUAAGUCAUUGUGUUUUGAAAUACUUGAUUUAUUAUCCUG